rnacentral:rRNA from 1 species
GACGAACGCUGGCGGCAGGCUUAACACAUGCAAGUCGAACGGGCACCUUCGGGUGUCAGUGGCAGACGGGUGAGUAACGCGUGGGAACGUACCCUUCGGUUCGGAAUAACCCAGGGAAACUUGGGCUAACACCGGAUACGUCCGCAAGGAGAAAGAUUUAUCGCCGAAGGAUCGGCCCGCGUCGGAUUAGCUAGUUGGUGGGGUAAUGGCCCACCAAGGCGACGAUCCGUAGCUGGUCUGAGAGGAUGANCAGCCACACUGGGACUGAGACACGGCCCAGACUCCUACGGGAGGCAGCAGUGGGGAAUAUUGGACAAUGGGCGAAAGCCUGAUCCAGCCAUGCCGCGUGAGUGAAGAAGGCCUUAGGGUUGUAAAGCUCUUUCAGCGGGAAGAUAAUGACGGUACCCGCAGAAGAAGUCCCCGGCUAACUUCGUGCCAGCCGCCGCUGUAAG